UCCCAGACUCCUACGGGAGGCAGCAGUGAGGAAUAUUGGUCAAUGGCCGGGAGGCUGAACCAGCCAAGUCGCGUGAGGGAAGACGGCCCUACGGGUUGUAAACCUCUUUUGUCAGGGAGCAAGGUGCAGGUCGGGACCUGCUGUGAGAGUACCUGAAGAAAAAGCAUCGGCUAACUCCGUGCCAGCAGCCGCGGUAAUACGGAGGAUGCGAGCGUUAUCCGGAUUUAUUGGGUUUAAAGGGUGCGUAGGCGGGCUGUUAAGUCAGGGGGCAAAUGUCGGGGCCCAACCCCGGCCUGCCGUUGAAACUGGCGGCCUCGAGUGGGCGAGAAGUAUGCGGAAUGCGUGGUGUAGCGGUGAAAUGCAUAGAUAUCACGCAGAACUCCGAUUGCGAAGGCAGCAUACCGGCGCCCGACUGACGCUGAGGCACGAAAGCGUGGGUAUCGAACAGGAUUAGAUACCCCUGUAA
rnacentral:rRNA from 1 species